rnacentral:rRNA from 1 species
UACGAAGGGGGCUAGCGUUGCUCGGAAUUACUGGGCGUAAAGGGAGCGUAGGCGGAUAGUUUAGUCAGAGGUGAAAGCCCAGGGCUCAACCCUGGAAUUGCCUUUGAUACUGGCUAUCUUGAGUAUGGGAGAGGUAUGCGGAACUCCGAGUGUAGAGGUGAAAUUCGUAGAUAUUCGGAAGAACACCAGUGGCGAAGGCGGCAUACUGGCCCAUUACUGACGCUGAGGCUCGAAAGCGUGGGGAGCAAACAGG